CAGUAGGUCACAUACUACUGGGCUUGUGAAACUAAGGGUUACUUAACUAUGAAGGGGGGUGGUUGGCAACGGUAAAAGACUUCUGCUGGUGCAACAGCCAAAACAGAACCCAAAGUCAAGUGAACGAUGAGCCUGAGGUGUUCCCAGUGCUCAGUCAAGCUGCACUGCACAACUUCACUGCCGCUGUGCCUCUGAGCACAAGUAUGCACAAGUGGGUGAGUUACAUCACAGCAACCGUUCACACAGCUGGACUCAGACUUGACUAAGCCUUGCAGGAGCCAUGAAGAGGUG
rnacentral:lncRNA from 1 species